CGUGGAUAGUACGGUAACUGCAUAUUUCCAUUAAUCAAAAUUACAAAACUGCUUUCGCCCAUAAAUAGUAAAAUUUCAAUCCCGGGUUGAAGUAGUUGCGUGAUACUAAAAACCCGUUUAUGUGUUCGAUGCCGCUACACAUACAUAUAUUGCAUUUGCCAUAAUGGCGUUAAAUUCGCACUCUCGCCUUUUGCUAAAUCACUCCAUUACAUUUAAUCUAAUAAGAAUUAAUUUCCACCAGUUAACAAUCCUGUUAAUCCUCCUGGACUGUAAUUGGAUAAUAAACAACCUCUGGUAACUUUUUGUUCAACGUCAAAUUGAUGUAAAUUUAAAAAAAAAAAUUAACCGAAGACGUAUUUUGCCAUUAUUAACAACAAACAAGAUAAAAUUCGAGUGACUAAUAUGCAAGUUUUGCCAAUAUUUAUCUCCUUUCAUAUUCAUUAUAUCAUAAAGUGAUUAAACGUUUAUAAAUAUUUUUGCGAGUGUUUGUUUUCAAAAUAGUCGUAUUGUUCAUUCAAAAUGUUUUAUAUUGUAAUUUAUCUGUCUAUUCUUUUUAUACUACCAAAAGUUUAUCCGGAAACAUUAGAGAAAACAGAAAUCAGAAAUUGUUACAAUUUGAUCGACUGUCCAAAAUACACUGUAACUUGUGAACAAAAAACAAGUAUAUCUGAAGACAGAAUAUAUUUUAAGAUAACUACCAACUGCUUGGGAAAACAAUUGGAAGUUUUAGCAACAAACACAACGUACGUUUACAACUUAUACAAACCGAAUACGUAUUAUAAGGGAUACUCAAAAUCUGUGGUUUAUAAAGUGAAAAUCUAAUUUAUUUAUACUGACUUAUUUAUUUGUAACCUUGUAUUAAAUUUAUGAAUCAAUAAAUUUGUGUUUUAUUAUAAUAUUAAACCGAGAUAAACUUCAAUCAAUGUCGAAAUUUCACAAGUUGUUUAUAUAAGAGUGUUUCUGGUUAUUAAAUUUGAUAAGACGGAAUCGAUUAAUUUACAAAUAAAUAAGUUAAAUACCAAGAACUAACAAAAUGUGGUUAAACGUAUGUAAAAUUAUUAAACUCUCAUUGUUAAUAAAUUUAUGUUUGUGCGUUGCAUCGAACGACGUCGUGUUUUACUGUCACAACAGGCCUUGUCCCGAAUACACGGUGUCUUGUUCAAAAAGUGCCAAAAUUUACAACAGGACCAACCUAGAAAUGAUCAUAAAUUGUCUGGACAGUUCAAAUACAAUUUUACAAACCCACAAGGAAGUAAAAAGUAUACGAUUACACGAAAAUCAAUAGUAGCGAAUGAAUAAAUUUUAAGUCC